GCCUACGGCCAUACCAGCCUGGGUACGCCCGAUCUCGUCUGAUCUCGGAAGCUAAGCAGGGUCGGGCCUGGUUAGUACUUGGAUGGGAGACCGCCUGGGAAUACCAGGUGCUGUAAGCA
rnacentral:rRNA from 1 species